rnacentral:rRNA from 1 species
UUAAGCGACUAAGCGUACACGGUGGAUGCCCUGGCAGUCAGAGGCGAUGAAGGACGUGCUAAUCUGCGAAAAGCGUCGGUAAGGUGAUAUGAACCGUUAUAACCGGCGAUGUCCGAAUGGGGAAACCCAGUGCAAUUCGUUGCACUAUCGUUAACUGAAUACAUAGGUUAACGAGGCGAACCGGGGGAACUGAAACAUCUAAGUACCCCGAGGAAAAGAAAUCAACCGAGAUUCCCCCAGUAGCGGCGAGCGAACGGGGAGCAGCCCAGAGUCUGAAUCAGCUUGUGUGUUAGUGGAACGGUCUGGAAAGUCCGACGGUACAGGGUGAUAGUCCCGUACACCAAAAUGCACAGGCUGUGAACUCGAAGAGUAGGGCGGGACACGUGGUAUCCUGUCUGAAUAUGGGGGGACCAUCCUCCAAGGCUAAAUACUCCUGACUGACCGAUAGUGAACCAGUACCGUGAGGGAAAGGCGAAAAGAACCCCGGCGAGGGGAGUGAAAAAGAACCUGAAACCGUGUACGUACAAGCAGUGGGAGCACCUUCGGGUGUGACUGCGUACCUUUUGUAUAAUGGGUCAGCGACUUAUAUUCUGUAGCAAGGUUAACCGUAUAGGGGAGCCGCAGGAAACCGAGUCUUAACUGGGCGUUAAGUUGCAGGGUAUAGACCCGAAACCCGGUGAUCAGCCAUGGGCAGGUUGAAGGUUGGGUAACACUAACUGGAGGACCGAACCGACUAAUGUUGAAAAAUUAGCGGAUGACUUGUGGCUGGGGGUGAAAGGCCAAUCAAACCGGGAGAUAGCUGGUUCUCCCCGAAAGCUAUUUAGGUAGCGCCUCGUGAAUUCAUCUUCGGGGGUAGAGCACUGUUUCGGCUAGGGGGUCAUCCCGACUUACCAACCCGAUGCAAACUACGAAUACCGAAGAAUGUUAUCACGGGAGACACACGGCGGGUGCUAACGUCCGUCGUGAAGAGGGAAACAACCCAGACCGCCAGCUAAGGUCCCAAAGUCAUGGUUAAGUGGGAAACGAUGUGGGAAGGCACAGACAGCCAGGAUGUUGGCUUAGAAGCAGCCAUCAUUUAAAGAAAGCGUAAUAGCUCACUGGUCGAGUCGGCCUGCGCGGAAGAUGUAACGGGCUAAACCAUGCACCGAAGCUGCGGCAGCGACACUAUGUGUUGUUGGGUAGGGGAGCGUUCUGUAAGCCUGCGAAGGUGACCUGUGAGGGUUGCUGGAGGUAUCAGAAGUGCGAAUGCUGACAUAAGUAACGAUAAAGCGGGUGAAAAGCCCGCUCGCCGGAAGACCAAGGGUUCCUGUCCAACGUUAAUCGGGGCAGGGUGAGUCGACCCCUAAGGCGAGGCCGAAAGGCGUAGUCGAUGGGAAACAGGUUAAUAUUCCUGUACUUGGUGUUACUGCGAAGGGGGGACGGAGAAGGCUAUGUUAGCCGGGCGACGGUUGUCCCGGUUUAAGCAUGUAGGCUGGUUAUCCAGGCAAAUCCGGAUAAUCAAGGCUGAGGUGUGAUGACGAGGCACUACGGUGCUGAAGUAACAAAUGCCCUGCUUCCAGGAAAAGCCUCUAAGCAUCAGGUAACAUCAAAUCGUACCCCAAACCGACACAGGUGGUCAGGUAGAGAAUACCAAGGCGCUUGAGAGAACUCGGGUGAAGGAACUAGGCAAAAUGGUGCCGUAACUUCGGGAGAAGGCACGCUGGUGUGUAGGUGAAGUCCCUGCGGAUGGAGCUGAGACCAGUCGAAGAUACCAGCUGGCUGCAACUGUUUAUUAAAAACACAGCACUGUGCAAACACGAAAGUGGACGUAUACGGUGUGACGCCUGCCCGGUGCCGGAAGGUUAAUUGAUGGGGUUAUCCGUAAGGAGAAGCUCUUGAUCGAAGCCCCGGUAAACGGCGGCCGUAACUAUAACGGUCCUAAGGUAGCGAAAUUCCUUGUCGGGUAAGUUCCGACCUGCACGAAUGGCGUAAUGAUGGCCAGGCUGUCUCCACCCGAGACUCAGUGAAAUUGAACUCGCUGUGAAGAUGCAGUGUACCCGCGGCAAGACGGAAAGACCCCGUGAACCUUUACUAUAGCUUGACACUGAACAUUGAGCCUUGAUGUGUAGGAUAGGUGGGAGGCUUUGAAGCGUGGACGCCAGUCUGCGUGGAGCCAACCUUGAAAUACCACCCUUUAAUGUUUGAUGUUCUAACGUUGGCCCCUUACCGGGGUUGCGGACAGUGUCUGGUGGGUAGUUUGACUGGGGCGGUCUCCUCCCAAAGCGUAACGGAGGAGCACGAAGGUUAGCUAAUCCUGGUCGGACAUCAGGAGGUUAGUGCAAUGGCAUAAGCUAGCUUGACUGCGAGCGUGACGGCGCGAGCAGGUGCGAAAGCAGGUCAUAGUGAUCCGGUGGUUCUGAAUGGAAGGGCCAUCGCUCAACGGAUAAAAGGUACUCCGGGGAUAACAGGCUGAUACCGCCCAAGAGUUCAUAUCGACGGCGGUGUUUGGCACCUCGAUGUCGGCUCAUCACAUCCUGGGGCUGAAGUAGGUCCCAAGGGUAUGGCUGUUCGCCAUUUAAAGUGGUACGCGAGCUGGGUUUAGAACGUCGUGAGACAGUUCGGUCCCUAUCUGCCGUGGGCGCUGGAGAAUUGAGGGGGGCUGCUCCUAGUACGAGAGGACCGGAGUGGACGCAUCACUGGUGUUCGGGUUGUCAUGCCAAUGGCACUGCCCGGUAGCUAAAUGCGGAAGAGAUAAGUGCUGAAAGCAUCUAAGCACGAAACUUGCCCCGAGAUGAGUUCUCCCUGAGACUUUAAGUCUCCUGAAGGAACGUUGAAGACGACGACGUUGAUAGGCCGGGUGUGUAAGCGCAGCGAUGCGUUGAGCUAACCGGUACUAAUGAACCGUGAGGCUUAACCU